rnacentral:rRNA from 1 species
AACCAAAGACAACUCUCAACAACGGAUAUCUUGGCUCUCGCAACGAUGAAGAACGCAGCGAAAUGCGAUACGUAGUGUGAAUUGCAGAAUUCCGUGAACCAUCGAAUCUUUGAACGCAUAUUGCGCUCGCGGCUUCGGCCAAGAGCAUGUCUGCCUCAGCGUCGGUU